rnacentral:rRNA from 1 species
AUUGCCUCAGUAACGGCGAGUGAAGCGGCAACAGCUCAAAUUUGAAAUCUGGCCCUAGGCCCGAGUUGUAAUUUGCAGAGGAUGCUUUUGGCGAGGUGCCUUCCGAGUUCCCUGGAACGGGACGCCAUAGAGGGUGAGAGCCCCGUCUGGUCGGACACCGAGCCUCUGUAAAGCUCCUUCGACGAGUCGAGUAGUUUGGGAAUGCUGCUCUAAAUGGGAGGUAUAUGUCUUCUAAAGCUAAAUACCGGCCAGAGACCGAUAGCGCACAAGUAGAGUGAUCGAAAGAUGAAAAGCACUUUGAAAAGAGAGUUAAAUAGCACGUGAAAUUGUUGAAAGGGAAGCGUUUAUGACCAGACUUGGCCCGGUUGAUCAUCCAGCGUUCUCGCUGGUGCACUCUGCCGGUCCAGGCCAGCAUCAGUUCGUCGCGGGGGAUAAAGGUUUCGGGAAUGUGGCUCCUCCGGGAGUGUUAUAGCCCGUUGCGUAAUACCCUGUGGUGGACUGAGGUCCGCGCUUCUGCAAGGAUGCUGGCGUAAUGGUCAUCAACGACCCGUCUUGAAACACGGACCAAGGAGUCGUCUUUCGUAUGCGAGUGAUCGGGUGUAAAACCCCUACGCGUAAUGAAAGGCAACGCAGGUUAAAGCUUCGGGCGCAUCAUCGAACCGAUUCUUGAUGUCCUCGGGAUGGGAUUUUGAGUAAGAAGCAUUACGGGGCCCGGAACCCGA